rnacentral:lncRNA from 1 species
ACGGAUCCGAGUAUACCUUUUUCUUUAAAUUAAAAAUACGGAGUGGCAAGACUAAAAUUUCUUGACAUUUGCCCGCAUAUAUAAGAGUUGUCAGUUGCUUUCCACUGAUUCUGCUUUACUUGGGCUUCCCAUCUCUUCCUUCGCUCUGGGUUCCAGGGGAAGCGAAAACAAUGUAGGCCUUUACGUGUUGAUCCGGCGCACUUAGGAACACAAUAGCCUGUCAUGUCGACGUGAUGCACUUGACAAACUUGU